UACGUAGGGGGCAAGCGUUGUCCGGAAUCAUUGGGCGUAAAGCGCGUGUAGGCGGUCCGGUAAGUCCGCUGUGAAAGUCGAGGGCUCAACCCUCGAAUGCCGGUGGAUACUGUCGGGCUUGAGUACGGGAGAGGCGAGUGGAAUUCCCGGUGUAGCGGUGGAAUGCGCAGAUAUCAGGAGGAACACCAAUAGCGAAGGCAGCUCGCUGGGACGGUACUGACGCUGAGGCGCGAAAGCGUGGGGGAGCGAACAGG
rnacentral:rRNA from 1 species